CUUUACACAUGCAAGUCGAGCGGCAGCGGCGGGGGCAACCCUGGCGGCGAGCGGCGAACGGGUGAGUAACAUAUCGGAACGUACCCAGUCGGUGGGGGAUAACUAUCCGAAAGGAUAGCUAAUACCGCAUACGUCCUGAGGGAGAAAGCGGGGGAUCGCAAGGCCUCGCGCUAUUGGAGCGGCCGAUGUCAGAUUAGGUAGUUGGUGGGGUAAAGGCCUACCAAGCCUACGAUCUGUAGCUGGUCUGAGAGGACGACCAGCCACACUGGGACUGAGACACGGCCCAGACUCCUACGGGAGGCAGCAGUGGGGAAUUUUGGACAAUGGGCGAAAGCCUGAUCCAGCCAUGCCGCGUGCGGGAAGAAGGCCUUCGGGUUGUAAACCGCUUUUGUCAGGGAAGAAACGUCUUGGGAUAAUACCCCGAGAUAAUGACGGUACCUGAAGAAUAAGCACCGGCUAACUACGUG
rnacentral:rRNA from 1 species